rnacentral:rRNA from 1 species
UGGGGAAUAUUGCACAAUGGGCGCAAGCCUGAUGCAGCCAUGCCGCGUGUAUGAAGAAGGCCUUCGGGUUGUAAAGUACUUUCAGUCGGGAGGAAGGUGGUAAGGUUAAUAACCUUGGCAAUUGACGUUACCGACAGAAGAAGCACCGGCUAACUCCGUGCCAGCAGCCGCGGUAAUACGGAGGGUGCAAGCGUUAAUCGGAAUUACUGGGCGUAAAGCGCACGCAGGCGGUCUGUCAAGUCGGAUGUGAAAUCCCCGGGCUCAACCUGGGAACUGCAUUCGAAACUGGCAGGCUAGAGUCUUGUAGAGGGGGGUAGAAUUCCAGGUGUAGCGGUGAAAUGCGUAGAGAUCUGGAGGAAUACCGGUGGCGAAGGCGGCCCCCUGGACAAAGACUGACGCUCAGGUGCGAAAGCGUGGGGAGCAAACAGG